AAUUCGUGGUGUGGGCAUUUCUAAAUAAAUGUUUUCAAAUGUUCCCAAGCCUCAUGGAAACUUUCUGCUUCCAUCUAUAUGAAAACAACAUUUUCUCUUCUUAAUU
rfam:Gossypium arboreum cultivar AKA8401 contig_13417_5, whole genome shotgun sequence.